rnacentral:lncRNA from 10 species
GUCUCUAACUCCACAAAUUUCAACAUGCAUACAAAUCAAGAAGGGGUGGGGGUGUUACAUGCAAAUUCUGCUUCAGUGGGUGUUGGAGCCUGAGAUUCUGGCUUUCUAACAAGCUCCCAGGUAAGUGCUGAUGCUGCUGCUUUGAGGGCCACACACCUUGAGGAGUAGGAAGAGUACUCAUACUGGAAGAGUAUUCAGCACGGACUGGAAUCCUGCAUACAUAUCUGAGCUCUGUGUUCUGGUAUGUAUAUAGACUUUUUAAAAAAAUUAGUAGAGAUGGGGUCUCACCAUUUUGGCCAGGCUGGUCUCAAACUCCAGGGCUCAAGAGAUCCUCCUGCCUUGGCCUCCCAAAGUGCUGAGAUUACAGGCAUGAGCCACUAUACCUGGCUUAUAUAGACUGCUUCUAAGGUCCAUUCUAACUGUACAAUUCCAUGAUUCAGUCACUGUUUGGCUAUUAACUAAUUUUUUUAGGCUUCUGAUUCUCAUUGUUUAUAAGCUGCUAUAUUAGAGAAUGUUCUGUACUGGAAGGCCAGAUAAAAAGUCUUACUUAUGGCCAGUAAGUUUUAUUUUUCAAUCUUCUACAAGUCUGCCUCAACCCAUGGGAAAUCUUGGCUAAUAGUAACAUGAUACUGGGCUUGGACCAUAAACUAAACUUGAG